rnacentral:rRNA from 1 species
UACGUAGGGUGCAAGCGUUGUCCGGAAUUAUUGGGCGUAAAGAGCUCGUAGGCGGUCUGUCGCGUCGGAUGUGAAAAUCCAGGGCUCAACCCUGGACCUGCAUUCGAUACGGGGCAGACUAGAGUUCGGCAGGGGAGACUGGAAUUCCUGGUGUAGCGGUGAAAUGCGCAGAUAUCAGGAGGAACACCGGUGGCGAAGGCGGGUCUCUGGGCCGAUACUGACGCUGGAGGAGCGAAAGCGUGGGGGAGCGAACAGG